rnacentral:lncRNA from 1 species
CAUGAGUGAAUUCAUUUCAUCAGUAUAAAGUAAUGCUCUGAAAUUUCAAAACCAAAAACCAGACUCGAGAGUAUGAUAAUGUGUGGUUGAUAGAUGAAACGGCUGACGUUGAGCGUGCGAAGAACGCAAGAAGGAAGAACGACACAAAAAGUUUGUAGAUGUCAUAUAGUACUUUCAUUCUCCUCAACACAAUAAAACAUAUUCAAGCUUGUCAAAUAAAAAUUUCCACUGAAUUAACCAGGAAACAUUACGUGUUUCGAAACUGGAUCCACUCUACUAUGUAUAAUUAGUAAUUACCAUGAAAGAUAUAAGGUUGGCCGCUUUGAAAUUCCAUAUGAAUAUUCAAACCAAAUUCCUGUAUAUUUGUCAUUGAUGAAAAAAUAAAAGCUGAAAACAGAAUGACUCCUGUAUAUUAAUCAUUGAUGAAAAAAUAAAAGGUGAAAACAGAAUGACUCCUGUAUAUUAAUCAUGGAGUUAAACCAAAGGGUUAUUGAUGAAAUUAUCACAGGUUCAAAC